rnacentral:rRNA from 1 species
GUGUGCGAACGGGUGUAGUAUACAUCUGAUUCCCACGUCGUGGUGGGAUANAGUAGUCGAAAGCUACGCUAAUACCGCAUACUAUCUCUGGAUGACAGCGGGGUGACCGUUAGGCUCGCGCGAUUGGAGCGCGAUGGCAGAUUAGGUAUUGGUGGGGUAAAGGCUCACAACCGAGAUCUGUACUGGUCUGAGAGGACGACAGCACUGGACUGAGACGGCCAAUCCUACNGGCAGUGCAGCAGUGGGGAAUUUUGGACUAUGGGCGAAAGGCCUGAUCCAGUCAUUCCGCGUGCAGGAUGAAGGCCCUCGGGUUGUAAACUUGCUUUUGUACGGAACAGAAACGGUCCUGGUUAAUAACUGGGGCUAAUGACGGUACCGUAAGAAUAAGCACCGGGCUAACUAUUUGCCAUAGCCGCGGAACUACUCAGGGUUGCGAGCGUAACUCAGGAAAUNACUGGCGUUACCCGUUGCGACAGCGGAACUGUAGACAGGGUUGUUAAAAUCACACGGGGAUUUAACCUUGGGAAANCUGCAUCANGUGACUUGCACUUACCUAAAAGCUAAGGGAUAUAANCNUGCCAAUGAACACUACCAGACUCU